rnacentral:lncRNA from 1 species
UUUUGUAUCGUAACACAUUGUUACAAGGGCUUCAAACCAGGACUAACAUGUCUUUGUUACUAAGGUCUUACCCAGUAUGUUGGGAGGGUUGAGAAGGUCGAUAGGCGGUGAAAGAAGAGUGGGUGCUGGUGGUGAUCGGACAAUCCACGAUUGAGAAUUUGAUUCAGUAUGACGCAAUUAGUCCGUUCAUUGCAGUGGCUGGCUUACAUCCUAUUAAUUAUGCGUGUCUAUCUUAUCACGAGUAAAAAGAUUGAGCCAAUCCCAAGCAGAAAUCUGCCUCCUAGGUUU